GUAAAGAGCUCGUAGGUGGUUUGUCGCGUUGUUCGUGAAAUCUCACGGCUUAACUGUGAGCGUGCGGGCGAUACGGGCAGACUUGAGUACUGCAGGGGAGACUGGAAUUCCUGGUGUAGCGGUGGAAUGCGCAGAUAUCAGGAGGAACACCGGUGGCGAAGGCGGGUCUCUGGGCAGUAACUGACGCUGAGGAGCGAAAGCGUGGGGAGCGAACAGGAUUAGAUGCCCUGGUAGUCCACGCCGUAAACGGUGGGUACUAGGUGUGGGUUCCCUUCCUUGGGAUCCGUGCCGUAGCUAACGCAUUAAGUACCCCGCCUGGGGAGUACGGCCGCAAGGCUAAAACUCAAAGAAAUUGACGGGGGCCCGCACAAGCGGCGGAGCAUGUGGAUUAAUUCGAUGCAACGCGAAGAACCUUACCUGGGUUUGACAUGCACAGGACGCCGGCAGAGAUGUCGGUUCCCUUGUGGCCUGUGUGCAGGUGGUGCAUGGCUGUCGUCAGCUCGUGUCGUGAGAUGUUGGGUUAAGUCCCGCAACGAGCGCAACCCUUGUCUCAUGUUGCCAGCGGGUAAUGCCGGGGACUCGUGAGAGACUGCCGGGGUCAACUCGGAGGAAGGUGGGGAUGACGUCAAGUCAUCAUGCCCCUUAUGUCCAGGGCUUCACACAUGCUACAAUGGCCGGUACAAAGGGCUGCGAUGCCGCGAGGUUAAGCGAAUCCUUUUAAAGCCGGUCUCAGUUCGGAUCGGGGUCUGCAACUCGACCC
rnacentral:rRNA from 1 species